UUCACAACUAAAGAGCAUGGUUCCCCGCCAAAGGCGCAAAGCGCCGGGGAUCAAAAGGGAAUGCGGUGCGGGCUGAUCCUGAACAGGAGGCCCAAAUCCGCAGCCGCCCCCGCGACUGUCAGCGGCGAGCGGUCGUCAUUCGAGCCACUGGGCAACCGGGAAGGCAGACGACACGCAGCGACCCGCAAGCCAGGAGACCUGCCAUGCACGGGAACCGCAU
rnacentral:ncRNA from 2 species